rnacentral:rRNA from 1 species
UGGGGAAUCUUCCGCAAUGGACGAAAGUCUGACGGAGCAACGCCGCGUGAGUGAUGACGGCCUUCGGGUUGUAAAGCUCUGUUAAUCGGGACGAAUGGUUCUUGUGCAAAUAGUGCGAGGAUUUGACGGUACCGGAAUAGAAAGCCACGGCUAACUACGUGCCAGCAGCCGCGGUAAUACGUAGGUGGCAAGCGUUGUCCGGAAUUAUUGGGCGUAAAGCGCGCGCAGGCGGAUUGGUCAGUCUGUCUUAAAGGUUCGGGGCUUAACCCCGUGAUGGGAUGGAAACUGCCAAUCUAGAGUAUCGGAGAGGAAAGUGGAAUUCCUAGUGUAGCGGUGAAAUGCGUAGAUAUUAGGAAGAACACCAGUGGCGAAGGCGACUUUCUGGACGAAAACUGACGCUGAGGCGCGAAAGCCAGGGGAGCGAACGGGAUUAGAUACCCCGGUAGUCCUGGCCGUAAACGAUGGGUACCAGGUGUAGGAGGUAUCGACCCCUUCUGUGCCGGAGUUAACGCAAUAAGUACCCCGCCUGGGGAGUACGACCGCAAGGUUG